rnacentral:tRNA from 1 species
CGCGGAGUAGAGCAGUCAGGUCAGCUCGUCGGGCUCAUAACCCGAAGGUCACAGGUUCAAAUCCUGUCUCCGCAACCA